rnacentral:sRNA from 1 species
AAACUUCCAGUCCCAGUGAAUGAAGGAGACAGGGAAAGGAUUGAGCCGAAUGUCCCGAUCCUGCCAAUGUCUGGACAGGAGUUUGCAGCUCUGACGAAGGAGCUGAACUUAUGUCGGGAGCAGCUGCUGGAGAGGGAGGAAGAGAUUGCAGAGCUGAAGGCGGAACGGAACAACACGCGGCUGCUCCUGGAACACCUGGAGUGCCUGGUGUCCAGGCACGAGAGGUCACUGCGCAUGACCGUGGUGAAGCGCCAGGCCCAGUCCCCGGGUGGGGUCUCCUCGGAGGUAGAAGUGCUCAAAGCUCUAAAGUCUCUCUUCGAGCACCACAAGGCCCUGGAUGAGAAGGUCCGGGAGCGGCUGCGGAUGGCGCUGGAGCGCGUGGCAGUGCUCGAGGAGGAGCUGGAACUGAGCAAUCAGGAGACUCUGAACCUUCGAGAACAGCUGUCUAGGCGGCGGUCAGGGCUGGAAGAGCCGGGCAAGGAUGGGGAUGGGCAGACUCUUGCCAAUGGCCUGGGUCCUGGCGGGGAUUCCAACCGGCGCACAGCAGAGCUGGAGGAGGCCCUGGAGCGGCAGCGCGCCGAGGUGUGCCAGCUGCGGGAGCGCCUGGCGGUGCUGUGCCGUCAGAUGAGCCAGCUGGAGGAGGAGUUGGGCACCGCGCACCGUGAGCUGGGCAAGGCAGAGGAAGCCAACUCCAAGCUGCAGCGCGACCUCAAGGAGGCGCUGGCGCAGCGGGAAGAUAUGGAGGAGCGGAUUACAACACUGGAGAAGCGCUACCUGAGCGCCCAGCGGGAGGCCACGUCUCUGCACGACGCCAACGACAAACUGGAGAACGAGUUAGCUAGCAAGGAGUCGCUGUAUCGGCAGAGUGAAGAGAAGAGCCGUCAGCUGGCCGAGUGGUUGGACGACGCCAAGCAGAAGCUGCAGCAGACGCUGCAGAAAGCGGAGACCUUGCCCGAGAUAGAGGCGCAGCUGGCGCAGCGCGUGGCGGCGCUCAACAAGGCCGAGGAACGUCAUGGGAAUUUUGAGGAGCGGCUUCGGCAGCUGGAGGCCCAGCUGGAAGAGAAGAAUCAAGAGCUGCAGCGGGCCCGGCAGCGGGAGAAGAUGAACGAUGACCACAAUAAGCGGCUUUCCGAGACAGUGGACAAGCUGCUGAGCGAGUCCAACGAGCGCUUACAGCUUCACCUCAAGGAGCGCAUGGGGGCGCUGGAGGAGAAGAACUCUCUGAGCGAGGAGAUAGCCAACAUGAAGAAGCUUCAGGAUGAGUUGCUGCUAAACAAGGAGCAGCUCUUGGCCGAAAUGGAGCGGAUGCAGAUGGAGAUCGACCAGCUGCGGGGGAGGCCACCAUCCUCCUACUCCAGGUCUCUCCCUGGCAGUGCCCUGGAGCUCCGUUACUCUCAGGCACCCACUUUACCUUCUGGUGCCCACCUGGAUCCCUAUGUGGCUGGCAGUGGUCGGGCAGGCAAGAGGGGCCGCUGGUCAGGGGUCAAGGAGGAGCCCUCCAAGGAUUGGGAGCGGUCUGCCCCUGCGGGCUCCAUACCACCCCCAUUCCCUGGGGAACUGGACGGCUCCGAUGAGGAGGAGGCAGAGGGGAUGUUUGGGGCCGAGCUGCUGUCCCCCAGUGGGCAGGCUGACGUGCAGACGCUGGCCAUCAUGCUUCAGGAACAGCUGGAGGCCAUCAACAAGGAGAUCAAGUGAGCCCUGGCCCCGCCCCGGCCUGCCCUGCCCUGCCGGAGCUGACUCCACAGCCCUUCUGGCUCUGGAGGUCUGAAAGCCUGAGUCCGUCUCCUCUUACACCAUCCACAAGGAAUUCUUCCAGCCCAACACUCACUCCGCUGUCCAGGCAUCCCCUAGGAUACACUCAGAAGUCUUCUAUGUGCUACCUACACAUAUACCCCCCAGCCAAUACUCACCAUUCCCCAACACACCAAAGCCUGCAUCCCCAAAUAGCCCAGUUCCUCUUGAUGCAUCAAGAAUCUUCCAUUACGCCAUCGAUUUUGUGGUUUCACAUAACCAGUGCCCA